rnacentral:rRNA from 1 species
UACAGAGGUCCCAAGCGUUGUUCGGAUUCAUUGGCGUAAAGGGUGCGUAGGUGGCGCCGUAAGUCGGGUGUGAAAUUUCCGGAGCUUAACUCCGAAACUGCAUUCGAUACUGCCGUGCUUGAGGACUGGAGAGGAGACUGGAAUUGACGGUGUAGCGGUGAAAUGCGUAGAUAUCGUAAGGAAGCCAGUGGCGAAGGCGGACGUCCGU